rnacentral:rRNA from 1 species
GGGCCCGCACAAGCAGCGGAGCGUGUGGUUAAUUCGAUGCUACACGAAGAACCUUACCAGGGUUUGACAUGCUAGUGGUAGGAACCGAAAGGUGACCGACCCUUCGGGGAGCUAGCACAGGUGCUGCAUGGCUGUCGUCAGCUCGUGUCGUGAGAUGUUGGGUUAAGUCCCGCAACGAGCGCAACCCUUAUCUUUAAUUGCCAGCAUUCAGUUGGGCACUUUAAAGAGACUGCCGGUGUUAAACCGGAGGAAGGUGGGGAUGACGUCAAGUCCUCAUGGCCUUUAUGCUUAGGGCUACACACGUGCUACAAUGGGUGGUACAAAGAGCAGCUAACUCGCGAGAGUAUGCAAAUCUCAAAAAGCCAUCCUCAGUUCGGAUUGGAGUCUGCAACUCGACUCCAUGAAGUUGGAAUCGCUAGUAAUCGCGGAUCAGCAUGCCCGCGGUCGAAUACGUUCCCGGGCCUU